CAUUUCCAGCACACCAUGUGCAGGUGGUACAAGAGUUUUGGCCCUGGCGACAGCUCACAUCUCCAAUGGACGUGAAGGGUGCUGUGGUGCACUUUGAAGCAAGUUUGUUUGGUGGUGAAGUGCUCGUCCUUAAGCUGCGCAGUGAGAUGUCAGGACAGGAUUGGCAUGAAGGCCCUUUGCCUGGCCCCAAUCCCCGAACUGCCUUGAUCCUGAUGCAACAAGCCUAUUACAGGCAGAACAAACACAGGAUUGCCUCACUGGAGGACCUCGCAGUGGCAAGGGAUGUCAUCCCCAGGAUUUUGGCAUAGUAAGC
rnacentral:lncRNA from 1 species